rnacentral:misc_RNA from 1 species
UGCGGUCAGCUCCUCUCAAACGAAUCAGCUCUCCAGUGUUUGGUGGCGUCACGGGUGUGAUAACUAUCUACGCUUGUGGUCGUCCGCUGGGUAACCUUCAGUGAUGGAGGUUUGCUGGAGCUUACAAACGUCUCUCCUCAGCGAAGACAUCUUCUUGAACGUUCGAUCUCAAAUCAGGUAGGACUACCCGCUGAACUUAA